AUUGAACGCUGGCGGCAGGCCUAACACAUGCAAGUCGAACGGUAACAGGAAGAAGCUUGCUUCUUUGCUGACGAGUGGCGGCCGGGUGAGUAAUGUCUGGGAAACUGCCUGAUGGAGGGGGAUAACUACUGGAAACGGUAGCUAAUACCGCAUAACGUCGCAAGACCAAAGAGGGGUACCUUCGGGCCUCUUGCCAGCGUAGGCUCCCAGGUGGUCUUAGCUAGUAGGUGGGGUAACGGCUCACCUAGGCGACGAUCCAUAGCUGGUCUGAGAGGAUGACCGGCCCCACUGGAACUGAGACACGGUCCAGACUCCUACGGGAGGCAGCAGUGGGGAAUGGUGCACAAUGGGCGCAAGCCUGAUGCAACCAUGCCGCGUGUAUGAAGAAGGCCUUCGGGUUGUAAAGUACUUUCAGCGGGGAGGAAGGGAGUACAGUUAAUACCUUUACUCAUUGACGUUACCCGCAGAAGAAGCACCGGCUAACUCCGUG
rnacentral:rRNA from 1 species